ensembl:lncRNA
ACAGAGAUAAAGAUAGUUGAGUCCUUUAGAGUAAGCAGAGGUUAUCAGAAACAUCACAACCUGGAGAAAAAGUUUCCACAAGCCAGGGUCUAAAAAUACCACGAUUUCCCUGGGCCUGCCUGUCCCACACUUGUUCAGCAAGUCUGACAGGGUGUCAGGGAGCUGGUGUCAGUACCCGUCUGCUGCUGCCAUUAAGAAGAGGCUGGAGGAGGUAAAAAGAAAGGAAGAUGUCACUCAACUUGCUUGAUGGGCAUCCUGCUGGAGAGAGUCUAUCCCAGCCAAGUGUCCAAAGGCAGGAGGACUCACGGUCAGAUGCUUGCAUGGAGUCAGCCUGGAUUUUCCUGGGAGAAAGUGACUUUGGCCACCAAAGAAAACAGUCCCAGUGUGGCCUUUUCGGAACCCACCUGCCCUCAUAAUGCCAAGGGCUCAGGUAGAAACAUUUCCAUCAUUCGUCCCAGGUGCCCCACACUCAAGAGGGCUCAGUUCUGCUCACAAGACAGGGUGGCUGAGAAGCGGACAUCUUUGGGAAGGGGGCAUGGUCCUUAAUUUGCAAAGUCACCAGAUGGAGAAGGCAGGAAAGCCAUUGCUGGUAAAGCUAAUACCCACCUCACCCCACCCCCAGCUGGGAACGAUAGUGACCUAAUGCAGUCAAGCUACAGCAAGCUACAGUGUUGCUUUUUCAGUCACUUGUUGCGUGUACUCUCAAGUUGUGUUCAACUCCCUGCGACCCCGUGGACUGUAGCCCGCCAGGCUCCUCUGUCCAUGGAAUUGUCCAGCCAACAACUGAAUGCCUCCUGGAGUGGCCGCUGGACCAGCCACAUAGCUGAGGACUGAAGGAUUCAAGCACACGCCGGGCCCUUGGAGUCUGGCCGUCAUUUGUCUAUGCAGCAUGCAUGCGGAUCAGCAUGGUGUUCACUCCUGUUCAUCUCGGCAUCCUAGUUCAGCUGCGUCCUGAGCAACGUCAUCACCCAGCACCUUGAACCUCUGAACCCAGUGCACGUGCUCUGGCCCCAGCCUCCUAACUUCCUGUCCUGCUGAACUGGAUCCCUGGAUAAAGCACAGAAUUCUGCUUCUAAGUCCCAGGUCUUGGCACGGCUUCCUAACCAGGAGCCUCACUCCACCUCUGUUCUCCACACCUGAGCAGGCAACAAACCCGGCCAAACCCCAGUUGAGAUGAGCCCUGGUAUUGGAGUCAGGAAACUGGUGGGGCCAGGGGCACAUCAUAGCCUUUGAGGGCCUCCGUUUCCCCAUCUGUACCUGGGCGAAUACAAGUUCCUCCUUCUCAGGGUGUGUGUGGGAAUUAAACUGGACAUCUGCGGAAGCACUUUGUAAACAGCACGCAGGGAGGUAGUUGUCACUUGGGAAGCGUACGCCCCCCUAAUGGAUGCUGAAGAGGCACCAUCCCCUCAGACUGACGUGUUAGUCAGGGUUCUGCAGAGUAGAACCAAUUCAAUGUGUAGCUCAUUCUGAAGGCCAGCAGGCUCGUGGCCCAAGUGGAGCCAAUUAUUUAGUUCUGGUCUAAAGGCAGGAGAAAUCAGAGCCCCAGCUCAAGCUGUCAGGCAGGAGGAGUCUUCUCUUUCUCAGCCUUUUUUUGAUUGGUCCUCAAUGGAUUGGAUUGGAUGAUCCCCACCCACACUGGAGAAGGAAAGCUGCUUUACUCAGUCUACAGAUGCAAACGCUAGUCUCAUACAGAAACACCCUCACAGACACUCCCAGAAUCAUGUGUGAGCCCAGGUCUGGGCACUCGGGCCUAGUCAAGUUGACACAUAAAAGUAACCAGCAUGACAGGGGACAUUGAAUUUCCAAGGAUGACAAACGAAUGGGGCCAAGACAGUAAAGGAAGAGUGAGGUCAAAGAUGCCGCAGACACGUCUAUAGCGGUGUUGGUAUGAAACUGUAUGUCAAGUUCAAGUUGGAUCAGACCAGUCAUUUAUUUUCUGAGAAGCAAUCACAAGCAAGACUCUGGCCUGCCCACCAGAAGCCCAGCUCUCUCUGGAGAGAGAUAAAGGUCUUGGUGUCCCUAAAGGGUCAAAGUUCUAUGUGUAUCAAGAGUCUUAUAUCUCCUGUGUGGUAAAAUGUUGACUGUUUUCAAUUAAACUCUUGAUUUGAUCUCUAGCAACUUCAACUGGCCUACCCAGCCAUGGAGCAUCAUCCAGUGAGAAUUUUCAAGAUGAAACUUCAGAAACUUUUGACUUUGAAGCAUUGAUUCAGUCACAGCACCUUCUCCAUACACUGCACAAACCUCUUCUUAUUCUUUUUGUGUGUGUUGCAGUUGCAUUUUUACCUUUCUUUAAAUAAUAAAGCAUAAUAUAUGACAAAAAAUGUUGCUUCUUUCUUCCAUCUUAUUAAAAUGGCUACACAAACAUUUUUAAAAAAGAGUCUGCCCAAGAGCAAUUUGAUAAUGUGACCUUGGAGCUCUCCUUGGGUCUCAAAGUCCCCACCUGAUAAAGAAGACUCCGCACCAGAUAAGGACAAGCAGUAUCAUUGUGAACUGAAGGUCCAAGAAACUGUAGUCAGUCCCUGAUGUCUCUGAGCCUCGGUUCCCUGGUGGGUGAGUGAAUUGACAGUCAUCAUUGUCAUCACUGCUUAUUGUGAGUAUUCAUGAGACGGUGUCAUGAAGACACUUGGCCCAGGGGGCAUGCGUCCAAAGGAACUUCACAAGUGCCACUUAUUCAUGAGUUUGAACACUCAUUAAACAUGCAUUGCCAAAGGGAUUUCUAUGAGCAGGGGCUGUGCUAGGAGCUUUAGAAGUAACAGCAAAUAAAGAGUCAAGGUCUCUCCCUUGAUGAGAACUCCUGGUGAUGAUGCAGAACCAGCUAUGUCAACACUCAACAGCUAUGCCAUAUGGUUAAUAAUAUGGGAGGUCCUUGGAGCCACGUGGAGAUGGAAGAAGUAAGGAACCAAGAGGAACACCUCCCAGUCCACACAUCACAAUCCACUCCAGAUGGACCACAGAGGAAGACAAGACUGUAAGCCUCCGAGAGGAAAAUCACUUGACCCAAAAUACCAAGUAGUGUUGGUCAGGAUCAAGUCCACAGCCUGGAUCCUGACUUGUCAUCUUGGGGUCCCUGGAGCAGUAUUAUCAGCGUCACCCCAGAGCUUGUAAGAGAUGCAGAGUCCACACCCAAGACCCCCGAGUGACAUGUGUGCUCAUGAAGGGGCCAGCGGUGACUUGGGCAUGGCUACCUUGGGGGUUGUAACUCGUGAGGCACGUGCGGGGGACCAGGAGCUUUACAGCUUUUACAAGAUGCUUCACGUGCUUUAUCUCAUUUAGCAUUCGCAAGUGUUGAAUACAAAGCAGGUACUUUAGUCCCAUUUUGCUGAUGGAGAAAGGGGAAUAUACUUGACCAAAGUCACACAGAUAAUAGAUGAGAUUUCAACCUAGCUUUGUCUAAUGGCUAAAAGUGAGCUUACAGCUAUUAGAGCCAAUAUUAUCUCUAAUGCCAGUGACUUUUUUUUAAGUUAAUUUUUGCUGGAGUGUAGUUGAUAAGCAAUGUUGUGUUAGUUUCUGCUGUAGAGCAAAGUGAAUCAGUUACAUAUACAUAUAUACAUCCUUUUUUAGAUGUUAAUCCCAUAUAGGUCAUUACAGAAUAUUGACUAGAGUUUCCUGUGCCAUACAGUGAUUUCUCUUAUUAAUCGUUACUUACUUUAUAUAUAGUAAUGUACAUAUGUCAACCCCAAUCUCCCAAUGUAUCCCUUUCACCCACUCUUUCCCACCUGGCAACCUUAAGUUUGUUUCUACAUCUGUGACUCUAUUUCUGUUGUGUAAAUAGGCUCAUUUGUACCAUUUUUUAGAUUUCACAUAUCAAUAAUAGCAUAUGAUAUUUGUCUUUCUCUGUUGAUUUACUUCACUCACUAUGACAAACUCUAGGCCCAUCCACAUUGCUGCAAAUGGCAUGUUUUAUUAUUUUUUAUGGCUGAUAGUGUUCUGUUGUAUAUAUGUACCACAUCUUCUUUAUUCAUUCUUUCAGCAAUAGACAUUUAGGUUGCUUCAGUGGCCUGGCUAUUGUAAAUACCAAGUUUUUAACCACAGGUAGAACCAAAGAUGUCUUCAGUAUCUUUCUAAAUAUAUUACAUUCCUUCCCUCUUAAAUUAAGUAGCUGAAACUUAAUGUCACUUUUUUCAAAAUUAUAAAUGUCAUAAUGAAUGUCUA